rnacentral:rRNA from 1 species
CAUAUAAGCAGUCAGAGCAAUACGAAAUUGUGAUGGCGUACCUUUUGUAUAAUGGGGCAGCAACUUAUUAUAGCAGGCAAGGUUUAGAUCUAGUAGAAUAGAAUUAAAACCUUAGCGAAAGCGACUAUAUAUUGACUAUAUGGAUUAAAUUCAUUUUUUAUUUAAAAGUCUGUUAUAAUAGACCCGAAACAAUGUGAUCUUACCAUGGCCAGGUUAUAAUGGACCGAACAAGUGAACGUUGCAUAGUUCUUUGAUGAGCUGUGGUAAGGCGUGAAAUGCGAAUCUAACAUUGUGAUAUCUGGCAUUCCGCGAAAUAUAUUUUAGUAUAGUGUCUGCAUCUUUUUUAUAAUGAAAAUAGGAAUCUUAACCGGUAUAGCACUGAUUUGCAUACUAAUGGUAGUAGUAAUAUACUAUCUAGGUAAAAUGGGGGACUGUGAAAAGUCUACCUUUGUAAGUUAACCUCAGAACAGUUAUGAUUCACGUAGGCAAGCAGUCUAUUCAUGAUAAGGUGGAUAGACAAAAGGGAAACAGCCCAGAGUGUAUAUUAAGGUUCCAAAACAGAAGUUAAGUGAAAAUAAGGCAGUUUGUACCCUAUAACAGCUAUGAAAUGUGCCCGGUAACAGCAAUUUUAUAAUGAGUACGUAACAGUACAGUAGUCUAAUCGCAUUAUUCAAUUAAUGCUUAGGGGACUUGCGCCGAAGAUAUACGGAUCUACACUUUAUACCUAUAUUACACUUUAGAUUAUAAGAAACUUAUGAUCUAACAGGUAGCGGAACAUUCAGUACAAAAGAAAAAUAGUGUUUCAUUAUUUGGAUGUAACUGAAGCGACAAUGCUGUCAUGAGUAACGAAAAGGAGAUUGAAUACUCCUCACCGAAUGCGUAAGGGUUUCUAUAACGUAAAAGUAAAACAAUCUCGUUUUGCUCGGAAAAGUUCAACUUCCUAGAAUGAACGCGGUCUCUAAGGUUUAUGUGCUAAUGCCAUAGCUGAUGAGGGUAUCUGUAGAACAGAGUUUUUAGUAAUUUAAAAAUUCUCAAGAAAAUAAUAUAGAUCGUGAUAGAAUGAGCGAAGCUCAUUCGGCCGUAUUUAUGCUCCGCAUAAAUACUAUACCGUACCCUAAACCGACACAGGUACGCAGGUAGAGAAUACUAAGGUGAAGAGCUAAUGUGUGUGAAGGAACUCGGCAAACUGCACCCGUAACUUAGAGGAUAAGGGUGACCGAUCAAGUAAAAAAGGUCGGUGUCACAGAAUCGGGGGGUGCGACUGUUUACCAAAAACACAGAGAUUUGCUAAUACUAAUGUAGUUGUAUAAGUCUUGAAUUCUGCUCAGUGCUACUGAAUAAGGUGGGUAAUUAAAGUUACUUAUUGAACAGGUAGUAAACAGCGGUCUUAACUAUAAGGAUCCUCAGGUAGCCAAA